AGAGAGAGAGAGAGAGAGAGAGAGAGAGAGAGAGACUGACGUAAGAGAGUUCGUGGUGGCACUCCGCCAACUUGGAUUAUAGCUGUUUGUACUCUCCGUUGCCUUAUAUGUACCUCACAUGGAAGAACGAGUUCACCUCUCGGCGAGGAUCCUAAACGACAACGACUACGACGACGACUACGACGACGUCAAGCUGCCGGACGUUUGAAAUCAAUAAGUGGUAUCGCUAACAUAUACUCGUCAGCGAUCCCGCCAAACAGAAUGGUACGAUGUCGAAAAGAUAAUAAAAAAGAAAAACCGGAUCCCCAACGAUGCAGACACGACGAUUCUUUGUGUCGGCCCUUUAGGGUAGGAAGAAAGGAGUAUAAGGAAGAGAAAACAAAAAAAAAGGAAAAGAACAAGAAGAAGAAAAAGAAAGAGGGAGAGAGAGAGAGAGAGAGAGAGAGAGAAAGGGAGAAGAAAAAAAAAGAGUCGAGAGAAGGAAGAACGAGAAUUUAACUUAUGUCACCUAGUGACACGAAUCUUUGUAUCAUUUUUCUGGAGUUUCCCGCAUGCGCGAGUAGUUAUACGCAUCGAGUGAGCAACACUCGAAGAAGACGCGUUCUCACGAUGCGAGGGAAAGAACUGGAUUACGUUCUCGUGCCAUCCUAGUUUGAAAUAAAUGGAGAGGACUUUAUCGCACCUACAUCGCUUACUUUUAUUUUGCACCGAAAAAAAAAGAAACAUAAAACAAGCAAGUAAGAAAGAAAGAAAGAAAGAAAGAGAGAGAGAAACACCCAUAUACAUACAUAUGUACAUACGCAAUAUAUCCGACACAAACACUAAGAGACAACAAAAUGGCUACGAGUUCCACGAAUCUUCGUAUUCUCUAAAAGGAGAUCAUACGGUUUUCUCUCGAAAAUGUGGCACGAUCUGCGAUCCACUUUGUCCAAGUCGACGUUAGUCGGAUACGUAUCUUUCAUCUCUAAAGUCGAUUUUUAAUUAGCAACCAUCGAAACGUAUACUCUUCUAAAGAUUGAAAAACAUUCGACAACAGGAUUUCGCGUGAAACGAGCCGAGCAUAGCGGAUUGAAAAAUGCAAACUUAAAGUUAUGGUAAGAGCUCAUAAAAAUAAAGCUUUUGGUAAUCGCGAUUCCGUACAGCAUUUCUCCAUUCCUGUCGACCAUUUAGCAAAUUCCUCUUCCUUGCCGAGAAAGAGAGAGAGAGAGAGAGAGAGAGAGAGAGAGAGAGAGAGAGGUCUCUUCCCGACAUUGGCAUCGGUCUCACGACGUGAAUACGAAAGGGGGUGGUCGAGGGGAAUGUGGAACGUCGCAGUAAAUCGACACGAAGUACGCGUUUCUACACGUAUACCUACACGUAGGUACCUAUAUUAUCUACGUGUGUAUUUUCGUAGAGGAACUCUCAAGCAUGGACAUGAUUCUCCCUCUCAUUUUUCUUCGUUCCUUUUCGCGAGGUCAGCAAAGCCGUAAAGAAGAAGCCGGAAAUGCGGGUUUCGAAGCGCCAUCAGACGUAUACUUAUGCUCGCGACAAACCAAAGGAGACGAUGAAGAAGUAGUCGAAGAAGAUGAAGAAGAAGAAGAAACACGAAUGCUCGAGGGUCACGUCGACCACCUUCGAGAUACCACAAAGAUCGAUCGAAUGCCAUCGACGACGUUAGAUCGAUUAAAAGACUUCUGUGAUCUCCUAAGCGUUUCGAUCUUCUUCGUUUCUUUUAAAUGAUCAUCGUUUAAUUUUAAGAGGAGAACGCUGUCGCAUCGGUAUCACGCUACGUAAUACACUGUGCUAAUACUUAAGGGAGUAUAAUAAAUUAGAAAGUAGCAAUAAAACUUUUGAAAAAUAUUAAUUAAAAAUAUUGCACUUUUUUUCUUUCAUUUAUGCGUUCGAUUUUUUGCUCAUGACUACAUAUAUAUUUUUCUACGGUGUUUAUUGAAAUUAGCUACAAAGUGUCUUACCUAAUUGUGGUUAAUUACAUCAUUCCGAGCUAUUGUGGUUGACUCGUGAAUUAAAAAGAGACACAUUAUUAACGAAG